UUGUUGUAAUGACAAUCUUAGGACACCUUUGGAAGCAACCAUGAAAACACCACUGACUCUGAGCAAC